AGCGGAGAUCGGUAGCCAUCAAAGUUUCUUGGUAUGCUGCCACUGGUGGAGCCUGAGCUGUUACUCAGAGUCUCGAUGCUUCCCUCUCGCUGAAGUUCUGCAAGACACAGGAGAGGGCCAGGCCUGGUUAGAGUUGGGCCUGGGGAGUGGGGGCACCAUCUGGGCCAGGCUGCCUGCCUUGAGGCACCAUUCUGGGUUCACUUGUGUCCUUCCACAGGCGGAUCCCCACUGCUCCCUGGAUGGGCAGGGGGCAGCUCAGGUCACAGGAAGGCUCAGCCAGGGGAGGGGAAGCCCCCUGGCUGGCAGACUCCGGUGUGAGAGCACGGUCUCCCUAUUGCGGGAAGCCCUUUAGGCCCAAAGCACAGCCACCCUGACGAUGUGUGUGGACGACACAGCUCUUCACGGGGCCUGUACCCGCACCUGCACACACUCAUGCUCAGCCAGCAUGCCCCCAACUCCACAGUGCCUCCUGUCCUGGCUCUACAGGGGAGGCAAGUGGGGAGAAGCCAGGACACCAGAGGGCCUGCAGCGCCCCUGCCUGAUCUGUCCCCACCUCUCUCCUACCCUGCCUGUGCCUGGAGCUUCUGCCUGGCUUUGCCACUCACUCGUUCACUCAUGCUCACCCACACAGUCUGCCUGAUGGCCAGGUCUUGGCUCAUCUUUGGCACCUCCUGGCAAGUGUCCUGUUUCCCUGGGAGAGGAUGCCUGGUUUAAGCGGGGCCUUCUCCAGUGAAGAGAGGGCCCCUGUUUGCCUGAGGUGCCUCCUUUCUCCUUUCCUCUUGGGCCCCAAGUCUCCUGGAUGCCCCUCAGCAUCAACCUGAAGGGCAGGCAGGGAGUCCUGCCCUCCUCCUCCUCUGCCUCCUUGGCCCUGCACAUCCAUAUUGGCCCUGCACGCCAUCUCAGAUAUGGCAGCUUGGCCCAUCUCAUUCAGCUAUGGGCCCCUCAACUGUCCUACCAUCUCUGGACCCAAGUCAGGUCCUGGGGUAGGUGGAUUGGGAACGGAAUUCCCUGCUUGCUGAGUGUAAGGAAGAACCAAUGACUUCUUGGCUUUCUGAAGGUGGCCAGUUCCGAUUCCCUUUCAGGCUCCCCCGGGGGCUCUGACAUGUGGGCACCGACAUACUGGGCAGUCUCUGGUGUCUGCCCCAAGCCAAGAUAUGUAGACCUGCAACCUUCUCCAAGGAACGCCUGCCUGUGACUGAGGGGGUCUGGCCUGUCCACCCAGGAGUGCAGGACUUCAAAGCAGUCAUUUGAAAGAGGAAGAUGUGCACAAACGUUGCACUCAUCUGGUCUGGCUUGAGACCUUGGUCUUCAGCCUGCAACUGCUCCCAGGCCUCCUGCCACCACACGCGCAGUACAGCUGGCUCUAGUUAGGGAAUGAAGGGGUCACGGCCUUCACUCCUGGGCCGGCCAGCACCAGCCAGCCAGGAACGAGCCACUGACCCCCACUCUCUGCAGGCCUGCAGCGGCCACAGAGUGGAGUGGGGAGGAGGCAGGCACCUGGGCCUUGUCGGGGGAGGGGCCCUUGGGAUCCAUCAGCCGCGUCUGUGGCCUGGGUCUCGGUGGGACAGUUCACUGGGACACCAGGGCCUCUUGGCAAAUUGGGGAAAGUAGGGGAUGGGACUGUGGACAGGGGCCGAGGGCCUGACUAUGGUCCCUGACCUCCAAGGGACAUUGGCUGCCUGGGAAAGUCAAGAGCUAUCUGGAUACGGAUAGAAAACAAGGCAGGUAGGAUCUUUUUUUCCUGCUCCUUCUUCAGUAUCACCGUAAUUUGGGGUGACAGGCCAUUGUGCUAUGAGAUGGAGAGGGUGGUAAAGCCAAGAGUAGACCCUGGGGAUUCUACGUGGAAGCUCCAGAUUCCAAGAGCCCCCUCUGUUGCCUUCUUUCCCCACAAGCAAGCCGAGUUGUGGGCGAUCUCUGAGGUACCACCGCCCUCAUGCGCGGCCGGCCCGGCACUAGGGGGCGCUGACAGCAGGGCCAGGCGGGCGAGAGAAGAGCACCGGCAGGAGCAAGAAAAGCAGGGGCUUCCUUAGGAUGGGGCCGCCAGGCCUAAGGAAGAAGGCCCCCGAGGAAGAAGCAGGCAAGGCCACCAGGAUGGGGAAGACUGGCCCCUUUUUACAGCUCAGGGACAGCUUCAACAGCCUUGAUGCAAAAUGCCUCUAUGUCCACACUGCCAAGGAAGCCAGGAAACGGGAGCCCAGGCCCAGGCAUGACACCCCCACCGUCCCCUGGCAUAGGCCCCCAGCAAAUACCCCAGCAGCUUCGGUGGUCCCACCAAUCAGUCUUCAUGGACGCACCCCAGCCCAUCACACCACAGUGCAGGGAAACCCGCCCAGGGGCUUACAAGAUGAAUGUGCUGUUCUUGGGGGCCAGGGACUGCCCGAGUGCCUUGUUCGAACUUUCCCUUUGUCAGUUAGGCCUGGGUAAGAUGGAUGGGGGCAGCGUUCUCCCUCGCCCCUGCAUCCCAGGGUAACCAAGGCUCUGCUGAACUUCUCCCUCCUCUGCCUCUGCCCUGGCUAAGCCUGCACUGUGCGCCUCGGUCUCCUGACUCCAGGUCACCCGCCCUGUGCCAAAGCCAGAGUGCGCUGUCUACAGCAUGGCCCUCAUCUUGCUUUUCCUCUGCGUAAAAGCCUUCAACCACUCCUAACAGUUCCCAGGGCAAGCUCUGAACUCCCCAGCACUAUGAAAUGGCCUUCCCAUGACCUGCUGCCAACGCCUCACUAGUGGUACCCGUUAUUAUGUCUGAGACAUGAAAGUGAUGAAGCUGUGUGGUGUUUGGACCCAUCCAGGUGGUUCUAGGCCUCUGGGCCUGUGCUCAUGUAAAUUGCUCUAAAAAGCCCUACACUGGCUCCCUGGGCCCCAGAACACCUACUCAUCUUCCAAAGCUUAGCACCAGUAUCCACUCCUCUGUGAGCCCAUCCUGCCCCCCCACAGAGCCUGCCAGACCCCACCCUGCACUAUGCUGACUCCUAGCCCAGGCCCCCUCGCCCUCCCAUGUGUCUCCUCAUCUAGAGGAGACCCCCUCAGGGGGGUUCUGUGCCUUAUCUCUGUAUCCCUAGUGGCCUGGAAAAUCAUGGGUGCCCUAAACAUUUCUAGCAUGAAUGAAUGAAUGAAUGAAUGAAUGAAUGAAUGAAUGAAUGAAUGAAUAAAAGAUGUGGUAAGGGGAGGUGGGGGCCCAUUCUUCAACACAGACUAACAGUGAAAGAAACGGUGGCUUGCUGGCCCCAGGGCAGCUUUGUGGGCGCUUUUCUCCAUGCCUCCUCUCAGACCCCUUCUGUUCCUCCCCCUGCAGGCAGGGGUGUGUGUGGGAAGUGGAGGGGAGGAAGGCUGCUCAGAUUCCCCACUCCAAGUCAUCCCGGCCGCCCAGCCCUAGGAGCAAGCGGCAAACGGAAAUGUGUGGCCUUACCUUCCUCCAUCCCGAACGCAUGCUUUGUUACUGUUGGGUUGCUCACGGACGCUGGGCUGUUGGCAUUGUUUUUUUUUUCCUUUUUUUUUCCCUUUUGAAAAGAAAAGCAUUGAGGAAUCUUUUUGGAAAAGAUAUGGACAACGAUUGAGAAGUACACUGAUCUCUGCAAGCAGGUGGAGAGGUGUCAGGAGGUGCGGGGGCACACCGUGAGGAGGGGAGCUUGCAGUCAAGGAGGACAGUGACAUGCAUGUGUAGGGGCUGGGGACCAGUCGGUCUUGGAGGUCGCAGAGAUGGAUCUGCUGUGACAGAGGGGGCCAAGACUCCGUUCAGUGUGGGGGAGGGGGAGAGGAGUCACAGGUUCAGCAUGAGGAACAGUUUUAGGAAGGGGGAGGGGUGGGGACCUACGGCCCAUGCAGUGCCAGAUGGGGUCCCAUGCAGGUGGGUUGCCGGAAGAGGACAGGGAGAUAGACUGCAGUUUUUAGGGGUGCCCUUGGACCUUCUGACUCAGUGGCCCAACUCCUGGCUGCUGCCCUCCUCCCCCACUCCCAAGACCCCCAGGUCUGGGCAGCUGUCCUGUGGCUGAGGUGGACCUGUGGGGGAAGUCCAUGAGGAACUUGCCAGGGCCCGGAAGGGAGUGCUGGGGGCUCUGUGGCAGGAAAUAAGGAAAGUGUCCCCAGCCGCCUCCCCACUUAGAGGUGUGGAGAUUCUGGUCAGUUGGAAAAGCUCUAAAAGAGUUUGUUCUCCAGGCCCUGAAGUAGGGCAGGAGAGGAGGAGUGGCUCUCAGGCAAGCGGCUAGACCCAGUCACCUCACUGUGACCUUGCAUUCUCCAGGGAUGUGGUUUCCCUGGGUGGUGGGAGCUAUAUACCCACGCUGCAGAGAGCAAAACCAAGGAAGAGGAAGCAGCCACUAGCCCUGGUUCUUCACCCUCUCCCCCCUCCCCCAAGAAAGAACGGGUGCUGGUGCGGGCCACAGGGUGCUGGCAGCUCCGGCAUCACUAAGACCGGCCCCCAUGCCCAUGCCGGAGAGCCAUUCCUGUUGGCUCAUACUGGAAAUGGGCCUGUUACCCGCAGCUGCCCCUCUAUGGCUUGGGCCGGGACAGACAGGCCCCAGGGGUAGGGGGAUGAUGAAUGAGUAGCACCUGAAGGAAAGGUGCCUCUGCUCUCGUGAAACAAGUGAAGGAUGAGACAGCUCGAUCCUUGGCACAACUGUUCUCAGGGUGAAAAAAAAAAAAAAAAGCAAGCUGGAUCCACACGCUGCCCCACUCCAUAUGGAGCCCGUCCAAACUCAGAGGUGUCAGAGGGGGCGGAGACAGGGGGCUGGCCUUUUUAGAGAGAAGCAACCCUGGUCACCUGGGAGCGUGUGCCCAGGGAGAUGGCGUGGGGUGGGGUCGCUCUCUGUCUGUGAGGAGGCAAGGGCACAGCUGCCCACACCUCACCCUACUCCUGAGCUGGGUCAUGCAGCAUGGCCCCUGCCCCCCCGCCCACAGUGCAGUGUUGUGGUCCCUUUGCCAGGCUGUGAGUUGAUGGGCAGCAGACUCCCCGGGAGGGGUGAAAUGUGGAGGGCACAGGGCCUGUGUGAGACGCAGGGAAAGCUGGAGAGGCCAAACCAGGGCGCCCAGCAGCAGGUUGGAGGUGAAGUCAGGCAGGGUGCAGUGGCUCACGCCUGUAAUCCCACACUUUGGGAAGCCAAGGCAAGGGGAUCACUUGAAGCCAAGAGUUCAAGAUCAUCUUGGGCAACACAGCAAAACCGUGUCCAAAAAUUAAAAGAUUAGCCAGGCGUGGUAGCAUGUGCCUGUAGUCCCAGCUACUCGGGAGGCAGGAAGAUCCCUUGAGCCCAGGUGCUCCAGGCUGCAGCGGGCUAUGGUUGUGCCACUACACUCCAGCCUGGCAUCUCAAAAAACAAAACAAAACAAAAGAGUGAGGAAGUCCUGCUGCGGGCUUGGUGUCCUCUGGGUCUCUUCCAAGCUGGACGUCAAAGGCCCUGAGAAAAGCUCCUCUGGCUUCUGGAAGCAGGGGCAUUGAGCCCUAGCCCAGGGACCUGAGUGGGGCCAGGGAGGGCAGUGCUCUGUAUGUGUUUAGGAACAGGCUGCCUGGGGCCCCUGGUUCAGCCUUGGGCAGCUCUGGCACUUCUGCCACCACAAAAGGAGCAGCGUCCACGGCUCUGUACAUGAGCAUUGAUGCUGCCCACUGAAGGGACUGGCAGAGCACUGUGACUGAGCCCUGGCUGCAUUUCUCCACCCACGCUGCCUGGUGGGAGUAGGAUGAGACCUUAGGGUCCAGUCUGACCCUGCACCCACAGCUCUGCCUGCUUCCAGCAGUGAGCGGGAGGAUGAGGAUGUUUCCCCCAGCCAGUCCAUCCCCCCAACUUGGAGAACCCGAGAAGGCAGAGGGGCAGUGUCUGCCCAGCUUGGUGGAGGCGUUUAGGGAAGUGGUUAAGGGCACAGCCCCCGGCCACCUGCUACCUGGGAGACUUUAGGAAAGCUACUCGAAUCGUUGUGCCUCAGGUUCCCGAACAUGAGGUUAACAAUGUCUGUGUCAUGGCCUGGUUCUAAGAAUGAAAUUAAAUAAUGCAUGUAGAGUGCAUCACAAAGUGCUUAACGCUUCCAGUCAGCAAAUGUGAGUUACUAUUAUUGCUGCAAUCGGAUUAGUCAUUGUGAUGAUCCACAGGACUACAGGGUCCCUCUCCAGCCUCCCUCCCCAGCAGGUGUCUCUGCCAUCCAGGCCCUCAUCAGCUUGGCUUCCACUGGAGUUUGGGAAGGAUUCUUUCUUUUUAAUCAAGAAAUGGCCCAGGGAGGAAGAUGGCAGAUAUGUGUUUACAGCUUUUCAUUUCCCUCCUCGUCUCUUUGCAAAUACCCUCUUCCAAGAUGGAAAAUAAAUUUCCAACCCUGUUGACAUGCAUCGAUUUUUCCCUUCUGCAUCCACCUCUCAGCUCUCCCACAUCAGCAGGGACUGUGGUUAAGACCCUUGCUGGGGCUGGGCUUGCUGGUGGCCCAGGGGAGCGGAUGGCUUCGCGGCACACAGCAGCCAGCCGAGCUGCCCGGUUUGCCCAGUGCCUGGCUUUGAGGAGGUUUGCAACCAACAGCUUCAGUCCCCUUCUGCCUGGGGGUUCCUGAAUGGGGAGUGAGGUACAUAGUUGGGGAGGUCCUCUCAUUAGGAGGUCAGGCAUUUUCUGCAUUUUCCCUUGAUGGGACAUGUGAAGAGGAGACCAGCGGGUCACGUGACUGCUCUAAGUUCAGUAAAUGGACCACAUGGGGUCUGCCCCAAGGGAUCAACUUGGUCAGCAAGGGGCCUGCACACAGGGCCGUUAUGUCCUGCAAACAGGACUGGCUAUGCAAAAUGGGGCUUGGAGAGAGAGAGGCUGAGUGGAGGGAAGACUUGACCAACUUGUGUGGGGCUGAGCAGGGCUGGCAGCUUCCUGGUGCUGAUGCUGGCACCUGGAGAGGUGGUGGUCCAGGCAGACAUGGCUCGGGGCUGUUUGUCUUACACCAGUCCUGUGCCUGAAAACAACUGCUGUCUCUUCCAGAGGGUGGCUGAGGAGGCGGGGGCCUGCUCUGUGAGACAGAGACGGAGUUGGCUGAGAUUGGCUCUAAACCCCUGACAGCCUUGUCAGAGACCACACUCUGGGAUGGAGCCAGCCGCAGCCCCCAGGGCACUUUUUAGGAGGUGAAAAGUGCAGCAGUUAAAGGCAGCCCUGCUUCCCACUGCACUCAGUGUACCCACCUCCCAGGCUUCCUGGCUCCCCUGCGCUUUCCCUCUUCCCCACCACCCGCCCCGCCAGGCUUCACCCAGCAGUGUGGGGCUCCCCUCCCCACCAGGUCCCUCCCUAAGGCUUCAGAGCUCACAGGCUGCCAGGCUGCCAUGCCCACAGACCAGGAGUCCUCUUUGCCCACCAGCAGUGAGCGCUUGGGAGGAUGGGGGGCUGGGCUAGCAGGGACUGAGAAGGGAGUCCCCUUUCUCCUCUGGCAGGGGUUUCUGUUCCCUUCCCAGGCAUGCAGAGGAAGGAAGGAGGGCAGCUUCUGGAAGCUGAGGAUGAAAAGACUCCUCUGCUUCUGCUAACAGGAACCCUGGCUUGGGCUGCAGGCACCAGGGAGCAGGUGAGAGGCAGGGCUCACUCUGGCCUGCUGUUAUCUCGGGGGCUUCAUGCCUAAGUUUGAGCACAGACCCCUGGCCCAGGCACCUCAUGCACUGGUGCCUUCCUCGCAACACAGCCUGGGCUCCUGAGAGCUCCUGCCUGAGUGCUGGGGCCUGGGGGCAGGCAUGGCCUCCUUCCUGGCUGGAGUCUCUUUCCACACACAGGCUCCCAGGAACAUGCUUUCUCUCCUCCUUGCCCAGCUUUUGUUUCUGACCCCUCAGGUAGUGAGAUCCAGAAUGCUGUCACAGAAUGAAGCAGGACCGCAUGGCGUAUCCUGCAUCCAGCCCUCACCAGCUCCAAACACUGAAGGGAAAUCUCUGGUGCUUUUGACUCAGGAUGCCUGGAACUGCUGCCCUUGGCCACUGGGGCCAGGCACAGGUGCUUUAAAGCCUCAGCAGGGUUUGCUGGGAGACCUGAGGAUGAGAGACCUCAGAUGCCGCCAGACGUCCACCGCCCCAGAAGGUGAAAGUCACAACCAACACCUAGCUAGGGUGAGGGCUGAGGACACUGCAAGUCAGGUAGGCAGCGGGCCCUCUCUGUGCCUGAGCUUCCACCCGAGCAACCAGGGAGGGCACGGGCAUGUCACCUUCCCACAGCCAUUCCCCUUCCCUCUAGGACCCACAGAGGAAAGCUUCUCAGGCCCCCGGAAGCCCCGUUCAUGAGAGCAAGCCAUUGCGGCCUUAACGCCAUGAGCGGGGCUGAGAGACAGGUUAGAGCCCCAGACACCUGCAGGUGCCAGCAGGGACAGGGGCAGAAGCUGGGAGAGAUGUGUAUUGCAAUGCCGGGGAAGGGAGAAUGAAGAUGGGAAAGGUUGGGGAGGAGAGAGCCCUGGGGACUGAGGAGGACUUGGGAGGGCCUGUCCCUCACCGCAGCCGCGCCUCUCCUAUAUGGCUGACGGUGCCUGUGUGUGGCGUGGGGAGGGCACUGGAGCUCCAGGCAGAGCUUCCAGCCCGGCGCGGGUUCUCCUUUGCAGCCUUUGAACGACUAAAGAGUGGUGGCAUGGGCAGGUCUGAGCCACCGGGUGUGCUGGCCUGGUGGGGACUGGGGCCAUUUCCCCCAAGAAGGCUGCCACACCUCACUCCCAGUAAAGCCACCUUACCCAUGCCUCCCCAGGUCUUGGCUUGAAAGGAGAAGAUCACCCACCCAGACCACCUCGACUGCACCCCACAUCCGGGGACCCUCUCAGUGCCCACUACGUUAGUGAAACCUGAAACCCUGACCAAGGCAGAGUACAUGCGGUCACCACAUGCUAUACGAGGGGACAGAAAAGGCUGCGCUGACCCAGCUCCUAUGUCCCUAGUUUGGAUGUGUCUGAGGACUGGCCGGAGCCAUGCCGAGGAUCGGCCAGAUGUGGGAGAAGCCCUGCCCUGCCGCUCCCUGUGGACGGCCCGGGGAGGAGGAGGACUGUGCUAAGAGGCUGACUUCGCUCUGGCCUCAGUUCUGUCACAGAUGUGCCAAAUGACCUGAGCGAGUCACUUCACUUCUCAUUUGCAUCAGCAUCUGUGGCACAGGAGGGGAGGGUCUGCUCUAGUGACCUCACUGGGCGUGUAUGGCUCUAAUGAGAAAAGCAUGUGGGGGGCUUUAAGAAGCAGAACCCGCACUGGACACGCACGCGAGACCUCUGGGUAAAAAAAUAAGCUUUGCUGCCUCCGCUGUCUCUAGCAGGCGGAGGGCCCCCCAGGAGGGGGGUUGAAAUAUCCCUCCUAGCUCCAGCUCCUCGGUGCCAACCUGGGGGCAGAGCCUUGGCCGAUGCCACUUAGGGUGGACUCAGUGCUGAGGGGCAUGGCAGGCGGGCUUGGGAUGGAGAACGCCCAUCCAGGUGCUGCCACACCACCGCUCUGUGUGGAUGCCAAUGAGGGGCCUGGAGGAGUCUCAGGCACCAGCACACAGGCCUGCUCUGCCCGGCUAUGAAGAGGGGACAGGGCUUGGAGACUGGUCCUUGGCACUAGGUGCUGGCAGCUGGCCUUGACCUGUCUGUGUCCUGAAGUCCAGCCCUGAAGCUUGGAAGACCCACCCUAGUUCCUGGGAAGGGGUCUCCCCGAGCUACCCUCCAGCGUGACGAGAUAGCACUGAGCCCUGCAGACCACAGGACAGCGGCUGUCCUUUGAGAGCUGCUGGCCAGCAGGCCAGAGCCACAUCUGCUUCUCAUUCCAAUGUCCAAAUGUAAUUAAAUUCCCUACGACGCAGCGGAAGAGUUUGGUAAGAUGUGGCUUUCCCCUUUUCCAUCAAGGUUAAGAAAUCACAGUCUCUCAUUCCACAGGCAGACGGGCGUUCCUCCCUGCCACUGGUCCAUCCUAGUCUGCAAAGGUGAAGGCCUGUGCCCUUAUCUGUUUUCUAGAGUUUAUGGGGCUGGGGCCAGCAUGGGAUACACAGAUCUCCCCCACCCCUGUGUUCCAUUUACCCACCUGAGAGGAUUAACAGCUGAGGUCAAAGCUUCGGGCUUGCAGCCGAGCAAGACAGUGUGCUGGGGGUUCAUCGGGGGUGGGGGUGGGGAGUUAGUGCCCUGACUCCUUCUGAAAGGGUCUCCCCGACCCGAGGAGACAGCACUGUGCCCAGGCUCACCUCAGUGACAACACCAGUGUCCUUCCACUGCUGGGAUGUGGUGCUGUCAUAAUACCCUGCUGAGGGGACCCCUGCUUGCUUCGUAGCUCCUCACAGCAGGAAGUGCUUGAGGGUUACGAUUCUGGAGUCUUUGGGACAAGGAGCUCUCGGUAGCUGGGCCUGGUCCUACAGCCCAGGACAGGGUGAGGCCCUUCCCCCCCUCUUACUUCUCACCUUGAGGCCCUGGGCCUGCUGCAAGGAGGCGCCCCUCUCCCUGCCCCCUCCCUGUACACGAAGGAGGAGAGGUAUGAGAGAUGGUGGAAGAAUCCGUCUAAUAGACAAGGCCCUGAGUGGUGCCUGGCCCUCUCCAGGAAUCUCCAGGACCUCCACGUCUCACAGGACUGUUUGCCACUUCCGGCCUGGAAGGGCUCUGGACAGCUGCAGGGACAGCAGGGUCCAAGGUGCAGUCCUCUGUGAGAGGGGGUGUCCUGUUUCAGGCUUCAGUGCCUCUGCCCCUCGGCCUCCUGCCCAGAACUUCCCCAUAUCCAAAUCCAGGCAGAAUGGUCCCUAGAGGGCUGCUUUUCCCCGCUUCCCUUCCCACUGGAGGAUCUUCUGUUCAUGGCACUUAUGACUUUCAUGCUCUCAGUGGUCGGGGAUGGAUAAUGCAUGAAACCAAGAAACUCCAGGCUUUCCAAGGACCCAGCCCAGGCUCAUACUCCUCCAGCCCACCCCUUGGGUCAGCACCAAACCGUCACACACAACAGCGUGGAGAUGGCAUGCUGGCCCUGGCCAACGGGAGCCAGGAGAUGAUGGGAACAUUCCAGGAAAACGAACACAGUGGGCACGGAAUGGAAAAGUCAUCCUGAACAAAUGACACGACCGGAUGGUGCUUCUCCCAAAACUCAAUGAAGGGUGCAGAGGGGUGGAACUGCAAGCUAGCGGGCUAUACCCCAUAAAAAAAUAUGUGGGUAACGGGGGAGGGCUGCGAAGCCCGGUGCUGGGGGAUUUUGCCAGCAAAUUAAAAAAUGUCUUAUGCAGUGGGCUGGCAGGUCCCUGGGGGCGGGGUGGGGUGGAAGGAGGAGUGGGCAGGAAGAAAUAAGUAGAAGGCCGAGGCUAGGAAGCUGUUUCCAGGAUGGGUGCUCCAAAAUGCCUUCUUCUGCUAGGGAACUUCACUUCUCUGUUAAGUUCAAUCAGAUUGGCUUGGCUUGGCCUUCUUACUACAGUGCUCAGUGGCUUCUAGGAGCCAAGGCUCUGGAUUCCUAAAGGGUCAGAGGGUCAUGGCCAACUUUCAUUUUCUGUGAGCAAGUGUGUCUCCUUCUCUUAGCGGCCACCACAUCCAGGGGGUGGCCUCCACAUCUCGGGCCAUGUUUCGAGAAGGCAGAGGGCAGAGGCAGGGGCCGAAGGGAAAGGUGGGAAUUUAACCAUCCAUGACCACGUUCAACUUUGUUCAGAAUCUCACACCUCACAGAAAGGUCAGUGGUUACAAGUCAAUACUGUGGCAGAGGAGGAGGAACAGGGAGAAAUCCUCCCUUUUGUUAACCAUUUACCUCUGUUAAUGCUUCCAGAGGAGAGCCCAUGAUCUGGGGGUCCAACAGCCCUCCCCCAGCCCCUCAGUCCAAGCCUGUGCCUUUCCACAGUAAUUCCUGCUUUCAUGUUGGGGCAGCACCUGGAGAGGGGACUCUGAAGGGUCACAGAGGUCACACUGGCACUUCCUCCUUGUUGACAGGAAUCACUGUGCCUUGGUGAAAGAGUUGAAAGGUGACUUUAGACAACUAAGAAAUAUGCAGAGGACAGUCUCAGCCCAAACUCCCAUUACAGCUCUGCCCCUGGUGGGGCCUCCAGUAGCCUUAGUGACAAAGGUGGUGUGGGGAAAAUGAUCAACCCAGAAUCAGAUUUGAGACCUGGCCGGAAACUAACAAGUGUGACUUUUAAUCAAUAAUGAUUCCCAUUGCUUUGA